UUCUAUAUGGUGUUUUAGCACAGAAAAGUUUGAUUUUUCAAGAAAGGUUACACCCUUAUUAGAAACC
rnacentral:tRNA from 1 species